GGUCAACCACAGUGGUGCAGAGUGAACUAAAACAAUUUAAUGGAAAAAUUAUGUCUAUAAAAGCUGUACUGUAUCACACUAUAAGGUUCUCGGUUUUAUGACGGCUCCGGUUUCCUCCCACAUCCCAAAAACAUGCAGGGUAGGUUAAUUGAAGACACUAAAUUGCCCGUAGCUAUGAAUGUGAGUGCGAAUGAUUGUUUGUUUAUAUGUGCCCUGCGAUUGGCUGGCGACCAGUUCAGGGUGUACCUUGCCUCUCGGCCAAAGAUAGCUGGGAUAGGCUCCAGCACGCCCGCGACCUUAGUGAGGAUAAGCGGAACGGAAGAUGAAUGAAUGAAUGAGUUGCGAUGGGUGAAUCGUGAGGAACAUCUGAGGAGGAUGCUCACAUAUGGAGGUCCUCAAGGAGGAAAGGCGAUGGAAGUUCCUUGUAAGAGGGAAACAGGCAGUGGAUCAGCUUGAUGAAGCCUUUACCGCCUACCAGCGUGGGAGGAUGGAGAUCCAUGAUGAGAAAAUUGGCAAUGGCUUUGGUCACUUGAGCAGAGGACCCUAUUGAAAACAUAGACCAGCGUGCCGUUACCCAUCACUGACAUUGUGUAGAAAGAACACUUUCAGAACUUAAGCUGGUCCAGGUGGAGACAUCACUGAUGAGAGGCAAAGGGCUCUGUGAUUGGCUGUGGUCUCCACUCUCUGUCUGAGAGGAGCUGCUGGGUUCCGGGAGGGUAACCGACUGAAUGUCCUGC